UACCCUUCGUGUGAGAGCCUCGCCUCAGAUGCCUUAACUCCAGAAAAGAGAAACAGCCGACUUCCUGGCACGGGCGACAAUUUGCAAACCAGACGUCUCUCUCUAACCUCCGGGGACGGCCGCGCAGCUGCGUUUUGAUGCCAAGGCAGCCUCUCCCCUGACAUCUGUCACACGAGUGGAGCCCUGAAAGGGAUCUCUCUAAUCAGAUAAACCGACACGGGCGGCCCAGGCACUUUCCCUGCGGAGUUGACGACACCCUCCCGUUGUCACUGUUGUCAUGACUGCCUGGACUCAGAACCGUUUUGGCUAUGUCGCCGCUGGUCACCAGCGAAUGAACACCUGGAGCCUCGCUAUUGGUUUUAAAAACGUCUUCAAUAUCUACUUUCUUUGAGCUUACUGACCAACCCUGAAAGUAUAUUUCUUGCAUAUGUAAGGAGGUCAGACAUCGUUUUUUCCCACUUGACAUACAGAAUCCUUCAAAGUCGCCACCUUGUCCGUCGUCAUCACUGAGCACAGCCGCAGGCCAGAGGGUGUGCCAGGCACGCACCCUGCGUCUCCAGGCCCUGUGCUCCAAGUGUUGGCCACCGCACAUACGGCGUCUUUCUUGCUAAACUCCCUUUGAAAACCUCCCACACCCAUGCCUCUGCUCACUGCUGCUAGCGUGCUGUUCAGGAAAGGGUUUUUAUAUUUACUCUUCAUUGGGCUAAGGAUACUCUGGUCACAUGGCUGAAUUAAUAAGGUCACAUUUGGGGAAAAGUAUGUGGCAUAAACAUUUUUUUGUUUUGUUUUUUUAGAGACAGGGUCUCACCCUGUCACAUAGGCUG